GAUGGCUUAGUGGGUUAAGUGCUUGUCCCUGCAAGAGUGAGGCCUUGAAUUCUGUUCACCAGUGCCCACAGAAAAAAGCCAGGCAUCUUGGAAGCCCAGCACUCCAGAGGCAGAGGUAUGGUGUCAAGGAGAGGCAGAACUGGGAUGGAAGGAACAAGAAGGAGAUGGCAGAAGACUCGUCAUUUCUCAGUGACAAGAAGAGGGAAGAAUUCAGCCCAGGCUCACCGUGGGGAUAGGAAGCCUAGACCCACAGAUACUUGAGGAAAACCAACUGUUGCAAAAUGAACACAGAUGGAAGCUAAGCCCAGAGGAAAGGUGGGUAAAUGAAGAGACAAUUGCUGUGA